rnacentral:rRNA from 1 species
GAGUGGCGGACGGGUGAGUAACGCGUGGGUAACCUGCCCCAGACCGGGGGAUAACAGUCGGAAACGACUGCUAAUACCGCAUAAGCGCACAGUGCCGCAUGGCACAGUGUGAAAAACUCCGGUGGUCUGGGAUGGACCCGCGUCCGAUUAGUUAGUUGGCGGGGUAACGGCCCACCAAGACCGCGAUCGGUAGCCGACCUGAGAGGGUGACCGGCCACAUUGGGACUGAGACACGGCCCAGACUCCUACGGGAGGCAGCAGUGGGGAAUAUUGCACAAUGGAGGAAACUCUGAUGCAGCGACGCCGCGUGAGCGAAGAAGUAUUUCGGUAUGUAAAGCUCUGUCAGCAGGGAAGAUAAUGACGGUACCUGACCAAGAAGCCCCGGCUAACUACGUGCCAGCAGCCGCGGUAAAACGUAGGUCACAAGCGUUGUCCGGAAUUACUGGGUGUAAAGGGAGCGCAGGCGGGAAGGCAAGUUGGAAGUGAAAUCCAUGGGCUCAACCCAUGAACUGCUUUCAAAACUGUUUUUCUUGAGUAGUGCAGAGGUAGGCGGAAUUCCCGGUGUAGCGGUGGAAUGCGUAGAUAUCGGGAGGAACACCAGUGGCGAAGGCGGCCUACUGGGCACCAACUGACGCUGAGGCUCGAAAGUGUGGGUAGCAAACAGGAUUAGAUACCCUGGUAGUCCACACUGUAAACGAUGAUUACUAGGUGUUGGAGGAUUGACCCCUUCAGUGCCGCAGUUAACACAAUAAGUAAUCCACCUGGGGAGUACGACCGCAAGGUUGAAACUCAAAGGAAUUGACGGGGGCCCGCACAAGCAGUGGAGUAUGUGGUUUAAUUCGACGCAACGCGAAGAACCUUACCAAGUCUUGACAUCCUGCGACGAUGCUGGAAACAGUAUUUUCCUUCGGGACGCAGAGACAGGUGGUGCAUGGUUGUCGUCAGCUCGUGUCGUGAGAUGUUGGGUUAAGUCCCGCAACGAGCGCAACCCUUAUGGUCAGUUACUACGCAAGAGGACUCUGGCCAGACUGCCGUUGACAAAACGGAGGAAGGUGGGGAUGACGUCAAAUCAUCAUGCCCUUUAUGACUUGGGCUACACACGUACUACAAUGGCGUUAAACAAAGAGAAGCAAGACCGCGAGGUGGAGCAAAACUCAGAAACAACGUCCCAGUUCGGACUGCAGGCUGCAACUCGCCUGCACGAAGUCGGAAUUGCUAGUAAUCGCAGAUCAGCAUGCUGCGGUGAAUACGUUCCCGGGCCUUGCACACACCGCCCGUCA